UAUCCUGUCCCGUUGUCAGA
rnacentral:piRNA from 1 species